rnacentral:rRNA from 1 species
UACGUAUGUCGCAAGCGUUAUCCGGAAUUAUUGGGCGUAAAGCGUGUCUAGGUGGCUUAUUAAGUCUGAUGUGAAAAUGCGGGGCUCAACUCCGUAUUGCGUUGGAAACUGAUAAGCUAGAGUAUUAGAGAGGUGGGCGGAACUACAAGUGUAGAGGUGAAAUUCGUAGAUAUUUGUAGGAAUGCCGAUUGGGAAGCCAGCUCACUGGACCGCUAUCGACGCUGAGGAGCGAAAGCUAGGGGAGCAAACAGG